UACGUAGGGGGCAAGCGUUUGUCCGGAAUCAUUGGGCGUAAAGCGCGCGUAGGCGGCCCGGUCAGUCCGUUGUGAAAGUCAAAGGCUCAACCUUUUGAAUGCCGACGGAUACUGCCGGGCUAGAGUCCGGAAGAGGCGAGUGGAAUUCCUGGUGUAGCGGUGGAAUGCGCAGAUAUCGGGAGAACACCAGUGGCGAAGGCGACUUCCUGGCCUGUUCUUGACGCUGAGGCGCGAAAGCUAGGGGAGCAAACGGG
rnacentral:rRNA from 1 species